rnacentral:lncRNA from 1 species
CUCACUAGAAUCAGGUUUAAGCAUUUUUAAACUUUUCAACCACCAAACAAGACUUUUUAAGCAUUCUGGGACAGAUUCUAAAAUUCAUUUAGCAAUCUUUAAACAAUCCUCAGGUUUUCAAUCACAUCACAACAUCACAACCAGUCAAUAUACUCAAGCUUUAUACAAGAGAAAGAGGUUUCUUACAGCCAAGGAACUAGUGUCAUGGCAAGACAGUGAGCUGUUGGUGUCAACUCCAACUUCUCCUUCUCCCAUGGACCUUUCUCUUGCACUCUCCAUGUCAAAGACCACACCUUUCUUCAUGUUGAAUUCGCCACACCAGUACCAGCUGAAAGCUGUCACCUUUCCCAUUGCUUCCAAGGUUCUUUCUUCUUCAUGGGCUUCAUGAGAGAGUGUAGAUCAGCUAGAGACAGCUUUUGGACACCAUGGAUGAGCACACCUUCUUCUUGAAGAGUUGAACAGCCGGCUGGACCAUGGAGCUUCUUCUUGGCUUCAAGCGACAUGGAGGAGAGCUAUGAGCUUCAGCGGAAGCAAGAACCAAGUUCAGAUGAACCUGGCUCUGAUACCAUGUGAUUUUUAAAGAGAUCUCUACUCUGGUUGUAUGUGUGUGUGUAUAAACUCCAAUGGAGAAAGAUGAGAGCUUGUUCUAGGUGAUUUAAGAACAGAGAUUGAUGAGAGUAUUUAAGUGUUUAUGAGACUAAAGAGAAUGAGAUUAAGAGACUGAGAGACUAAGAGAAUAAGUGUUUAGAGAUUAGAGUUUCAGAUUCAAGAACUAGUUUUUCAUUUCCAUGAAGGAGAGGGGAAAUCCCCCUAACUCUCUUAAGAGUUACAAUUUCGUCCAUACAUCUGUUUAUAUAGGCUGUUACAAUCUGAGACAUCAUAAACCUAUAUCUAAUGGCUGUAAAUCACUUAAGAGGAAUGGAUGGUGUAGAUGAUCUGGUCUUGUUGCAAUCUGAGUAGUUGAUGCUGAUUGGUUAAGAGGAGAUGGAGCCUGAUUGGUUUAAUUCAAAAUGGGGAAGGCUGAACUGUGAUUGGCUCUCCUUAGGCUCCUCCUAAUCUGUCCACAGAUCAGUCCAGGUUCAUCGUCGUGGCUCCCCUUGUCUUUACAGCCAAGGCCAGCCUGUCCCAUGACCAAACUAGCCAAUCACACUCCAAUGGCAUCUUCUUGAUUCUCCUUUGAUGCCAUCUGAUCAGAACCUUAUCCACAAGACUGGGACCACUUUUAUAACUCCCAAACCUUGCCCAGACAUUGCACAAGCGUUCCCGGGACGUCAGGUUCGCCCUAUUUUUGCACCAACUCCAAAACUUCUCAAAUGGCCGAGUUAUGCAAAUCUGGGUCGCCUUGGUCCGUACGGAUCCGUACUGUCCGUACACGUCCGUACUGCCUCGCCCUAUCUUUGCACACUCGCCCAUUUAUUCCCAAAUACACUGCUCAUCUCAACACUCCCCCUCAAGCUUAGCUUUGUGAAAGAACUUUAGCUGAUCCUAAGUCAAGCUUGGAACCUUGAAGAACUUCCUCAUUAAAAACCUCACCAAGGAAAACCCUUUGGGACAAAACCUUGAUGAGGGAAAAAGAGUAAAGCCUCCAAGGCCUAGGGAUUGGCCAGUGAGUCUUUGUGCCUUACCAACAAUGUAAGGGACACAAAGACUCUGGAUCAUGGCCCUCAUGUGAUGCAAGAUAGAACCCACUCCUCUUGCUCAUCAUCAACACUUCUUGUACUCUUCUUAAGACAGGUCUUGGUCUCUCCCCCUUUCUCACAACCUUCUUGUUGUGAUCAAGUGCUCGGACUACCAGAUCUUCCUUGAUAGAUACAAGCUGAGUCUUGGCUGCUUCUUCUUCAUGAGUCACCACCAUGUUACUGAAACCUUCAUGACAGGAUGCUUCAAACUAUAGUACCAAUCACCUCACUCUAGAGGCCGCAUUGGUGAUUGCUUCUUCAUCCUUCAUUAUGCUUCAUAACUGAUCUGCUCCUCUUCUUGAAUAACCACCAAAGACUCUAGGAUCAUAGAAGCUUUCUCAACACUCCCCCUCAAGCUUGACCAUGUGGAACAAGUCAAGCUUGGAAGGAUAGCUUCUUGAUCCGCCCAAUCACACCAUUGCAACACCUUCUGAACUCGCCAUCUUCAUGGAGUGCUUGUGGAAGCUUCAGCUACCUCUUCAGCCACCUCACAUUAGAAGCCGCACUGAUAGAGUCUUCAUCUUCUCACAGCCAAGAGUGCUCUGAACACUCUCUUGCCUAGACACGCCACUGCCUAGACCCGGAUGGCUCCUUCUUCUUCAGUUGCUUGCAACGGACCUUCUGAACCGGCUGAUAGCUCACUAAACUCCCCUCCUCAAGCUUGGAUUGGGUAUAAGUCCAAGCUUGCAAGUGAGCUUCAGUGAGACUUCACACCAGUGGCGCAUCACCACUUCUUUCUCAACUCUCCAUUGCACACACAAUGGGCAAAAGUCUCCUACUUUCAACUCGGAUGGAUGGUGAACCAAGAACACAUCUUGUGAACCUGAAACAUCACUCAAACUCCAGCAAAGAUGAGACACAAUAGUAUUGGGAUCAAUCCAUGAUUAAUCAUCAAGUUUGAUUCCCAAUAUCACAAGCAUUGCAACAGAUUAAACAAGUCAUUUUCAAGUUCUAAUCUUUGCAAGCAAACUCUCUAAGCACAAGCAUGAUCAUAACAGAUUCAAUACAAGCUACUUAGGCAAUUUUUUAAGCUUCUUUACUCAGUAAUUUAGACAUAAAUCUAAUGCUUCAAUGUAAGACAGCCACAAGACUAUAUGCAACAGCUUUCAAUCAGAUUCAUUACAUGUAUGCAAGCAGAUUCAAUUAAUCACAACAAGCAUCACUAUGAACUGGAGCUAAGCAUAUUAAUUCAAUCUCAAUCACCAAACAAGUCUCUUUAAGCAUCCUGGGACAGAUUCUAAAUCAUUUUCAUUUAGCAAUCUUUAAACAAUCCUCAGGUUUUCAAUCACAUCACAACAUCACAACCAGUCAAUAACACACUCAAUAUCAAGAAGGGAUAGUAAUAGCUUACAGUCAAGGAACCUGUUUGGUUCCUUGAACCUCCAAUGGCAUUAAGGUCAUGGCUUGUUGGAUCUGAGAGUUACAGGUCGUCACCCAACCUCUCUUCCUUCUACUCAUGACCAUCUUCUUGUUUCUCCAGCUCAAAGACCCCUCCUUUCUUCAUACAUACAGUCACCAUCUUCUAGACAUCUUCUUUCUUGUAACCGGAUGCAACAAACACUUGGACAAGGUGUUUUGGAGUCAGGUUAGCUAGGCCUCUCCAUCUACCUUUGCUUCCAACGUGGCUCUUCAUCAGGACAGGUAUGAGAAAGGUUGAGGAACCAGGAAAAAACGCCAAGCUUCAGUCUUCUUCUCCAUGGAGAAACUGAACAGGAUGGAGCUGUCUUCAUGGCUUGGAUUUGAGCUGAGGUAUGAGUGUGAGAUGUGCGGAAGCUUUAACCAGGUUCUGAUGAACCUGGCUCUGAUACCAUGUGAGUUUUUAUAGAGUACUACUCUGGUUGUGUGUGUGAAUGUGUAUAAGCUCCAAUGGAGCAAGAUGAGAGCUUUUAAUGGUGAUUUAAGAACAGAGAUUGAUGAGAGUGUUUAUGAGUGUAUAAGAGACUUAGAAACAGAGAUUAAGAGACUGAGAGACUGAGAGAUUAAAACUAGAGAAUAGAUUUGUGUUUCUGGUUUUCAAAACCCUUUCAUUGAUGAAGGAGGAGGGGAAAUCCCCCUCUCUCUCUUAGAGAGAUUCAAUUUCGUCCAUCAUGCUUAUUUAUAAGCUUACACAGGUUUACACAAUCAGAAACCUAUAUCUAAUGGCUGAUAAUAACUUAAGAGGAAUGGAUGGUGUAGAUGAGCUGGUCUUGUUGCAAUCUGAGUAGUUGAUGCUGAUUGGUUAAGAGGAGAUGGAGCCUGAUUGGUUUAAUUCAAAAUGGGGAAGGCUGGACUGUGAUUGGCUCUCCUUAGGCUCCUCCUAAUCUGUCCACAGAUCAGUCCAGGUUCAUGGUCGUGGCUCCCCUUGUCUUUACAGCCAAGGCCAGCCUGUCCCAUGACCAAACUAGCCAAUCACACUCCAAUGGCAUCUUCUUGAUUCUCCUUUGAUGCCAUCUGAUCAGAACCUUAUCCACAAGACUGGGACCACUUUUAUAACUCUCAAACCUUGCCCAGACAUUGCACAAGCUUUCCUGGGACGUCAGGUUCGCCCUAUUUUUGUACCAACUCCAAAACUUCUCAAAUGGCCGAGUUAUGCAAAUCUGGGUCGCCCUGGUCCGUACAGAUCCGUACUGUCCGUACACGUCCGUACUGCCUCGCCCUAUCUUUGCACACUCGCUCAUUUGCUCCCAAAUACACUUCUAAGUCUCUCCUAGACUUGGCCCUAACUUUGCACAUCCAUCAGGACACUUCUGGACACCUUGCCCUAUCUUUUGCACAAGCCCCAACUCAACUCAACACCUUUAGUUUCUCCAUUUCUUCUCUUCAAGUUAA